rnacentral:antisense_RNA from 1 species
AUUUAUGGCGGCUGCGCGUGGGAGGCUUUCGAGCCUGCCGAGUUCUAUGUCCUCGGUCUUGCACACCCACGUACAGCUGCCACCCUC